GGCCGGUUGGCCCAAUGGCAAGGCGUCUGACUACGAUUUCGAUUGUCAUCUCCCUCAAUUCGAGCGGCAAGGAGGAUAUUGCAUAUCAGUUAUCAGGAGAUUCUGGGUUCGACCCCCAGGCUGGUCA
rnacentral:tRNA from 1 species